rnacentral:lncRNA from 1 species
GGUCUGUGAGUCUUUUCAGCUCCUUUCAGUUGCUGGAUGAAGCCUCUUUGAUGACAAUUUCUAGGCUCCUGUCUACGAGUAUGUCGAAAUCAUCAUGAGCAUGACUGGAAGAAAAAGCUGGAUAAAAAAGAAUUUCAAUGAAGACCAUUGUGGACAGACUACUCCAACAUUGCUAGGCGGCACAGAAAUUUGAACCUGAGGGCAGGUCAGGAACCACUAGGUUAGAGAGGGGAAGGAGAGAGAACAGAGGGACUGCAAUGCUUUGCGUGUACUCUCAGAGGUUAGAAGACAACGUUGAAUGCCCUGAAGGUAGACUUAUAGGCACUUCUGAUGGAUCUGCCUGCUAUGACUGCUGAAAACUCUGGCCCUCUAAGAGCAGCAAGCACCCUUCACUAUGGAGGCAUGAAGUGGAAGUUACUGGUUGUGUCAUGUGACACAGUCUCACAUGAUGUUUUGCUGAUGUAAGACCAGUGAGAGGACAUGUGAUGUUUGGAGAGAGUAUAAAUAGGACCCAACAGAUAGUGACUUCAUGCUUGCAUUCCUUGCCAUAUUUUAUUGGUCAUUUUUCUUCCCUGAUCUUCACUUCCUUGAGAGAGGCACAAAAGAAAACUUCUCCUGGAGUCCCAGCUGGUUCUGGUCACUCCUGCUAACUCCUGAUUUGGCAGAGGCCUGGCUGUCUUUUCUGGAUCACGUCACUGCUGCUGAGUUUUUGGUACCUGACACUACU